AUUGAACGCUGGCGGCAGGCUUAACACAUGCAAGUCGAGCGAGAGGCGGACGGGUGAGUAAUGUCUGGGAAUCUGCCUGAUGGAGGGGGAUAACUACUGGAAACGUUAGCUAAUACCGCAUACCAUCAGAUGCGCCCAGAUGGGAUUAGCUAGUAGGUGGGGUAAUGGUGCACCUAGGCGACGAUCCCUAGCUGUUCUGAGAGGAUGACCAGACACGAUGGAACGGAGGAACGGUCCAGAGUCCUACGGGAGGCAGCAGGGGGGAAUAUUGCACAAUGGGCGCAAGCCUGAUGCAGCCAUGCCGCGUGUGUGAGGAAGGCCUUCGGGUGGUAAAGCACUUUCAGCGAGGAGGCGUUACUCGCAGAAGAAGCACCGGCUAACUCCGUGCCAGCAGCCGCGGUAAUAC
rnacentral:rRNA from 1 species